GCCUUCGUGGUGUAGUGGUCAGCACACUCGACACGUAACCGGAGCUUCGUGGUUCAAUUCCCAGCGAAGGCA
rnacentral:tRNA from 1 species